CUCUCUAUCCAUGUCUCUCUCUUUCUCUUUCUCUUUCUCUCUCUCUCUCUCUCUCACAUACUCUUUAUUGCAAUUCACCAAUUCUGCUUCAACCAAGACCAAAAAUCAGGGAAACCAACUCGGUUGUUGUUCUUCGUUGUAAUCCAACUAGGUGCUCAAGGAAUUCAAUGUAGUGUGACUUUUGAAAGUAUCGUCAUCAAUGGUCAAAGAAGAAUACUCAUCUUUGGUUCGAUACAUUAUCCUUGAAGUACUUCACAAAACUAGUAUCAUUUUUUCAGGUGAAAUGUGGGUUUACAUGAGCUUCAAUUCAUAGGGUUUCAAACAGUCGCCGAAAACCCUAGAAAUUAACCGUCACCGCCAUUCCAACGAACACUAGGGUUUCUAACUAUGAGGUCAUCGGAGAAGCAAAGAUACAAAGUGAUUGUUGUCGUGUUCGUCGAGGUAGGAUUUGUAGAGGUGAAGACGAUCGUGGCAAUGGUGGAUUUCAGUUUCUGGCGGCGUUAGGGGUUCGUCGUGUUCGUCGAGGAAGUGGGGGAAGAGGUAUGUCUCCUACGAAAUAUAGGAAUAUGUUGAAAAAAAUAAGAAACAAGGGGAAGAUGAACUCGAGUCUAGUACUUUCUCUUUGCGAUCUGGGUGGAGAUGAUGAUCCAGACGAUGAAAUCAUGUUUUAUUUCCAGAUUCAAAAAUUAUUUUUCAGACUCGAUGUAACUGGUUUAAGAUUUAGAAUCAUAUGUAUGUAUGUGAUUCAAAUUUUGUGUUCUUAAGUGUGUGUGCGUGUUGAAGUGCAAACCCAGAAAUCUGGAUUUUGUGUGUGCAUGUGUGUUGUUCUUGAAUCUAGCCAUGAUGAUUUAUUUA